ACUGCUGGCCUGGAAGCCUGGAAGAUGCUGCUGCUGGUGUAAGCGAAGAACUUAGGAUGAAAUUGAUUGGUGGGAAUGGCAGGAGAAGAUUUUUUUGUGAUACAGUGUCAGAAAAGCAAGGAGUUUGGGUCAGACCAGUUACGUCUUUGAAGCUUUCCACGUGUCUGUGUCUUCCUUGGAGCACCUCCCAGUGUUGUCAGGAGGAUUUAGAGAAAACAGCCUGCCCAGUGCUUUUGCUUGACUAGCAGAGACAGCUGGAUAAAGGUUUUAUGGGAGGCGAUGUCGGCAUUCGUAGGGCCUGUGCCUUUUCUGUGACUCAGUGAUGGGCCAGUGGAAACGGCCGUUUCCACAGUUGGACAGAACGAGGUUUGUGUCCUGGUGUUGCUCACAGACGUCUCAACCAGACGGAGUCCGGACUCCACCACGUGGCAAUAACGAGAAGGUAGCUCUCGGGGCGGUGGUGGGUUGAGAUUAGAUACAUGAAGAGGCUGUCCCAAUGUGAGCUGGGUUAUAAACCCAAGAGAGGGGGCAUGGGAGCCGAGGAGGGGACCGCAUCAGAGGCCACCAGGCUGAGUAGGGCGGGCUUUUCACAGGGGCCUGGGUCACGGCUGUGAUAAGCCCCCCGUUGUGGAAUGCAGAAGGCCAUGGUCUCUCAGUGAGUCGGGCAGGGCCAUGGUGCGUGCCCAGGUCUACUUGACUCCAAGUCUUGUGUUCUUUCCCCUGUGGGACCUUCAGGGGUUUUGCAAAUAGAGGUCCCACUCUCCAAGGGCUUCCUGUUGCACUGGGCAGAAGGGAGGGUAGAACCUGCCCAGCUGCGUCCUCUACUCUGAGCCUUUCUCUGCCAUUUCUUCACCAGAUGGCAGCUUCCUGCCUGGGAAUGGAGAACUCGAGUGGCCACCCAGCAUGACAGGCAGCCUCCCCACCCACUUAACCUCAUGGGAGGUCCUGUGAACCCUCCACCUCCAUCUCACGGGGCCUGAAGCCCACAGGGGGAUCCUUAAGCAGUUGGAGUGGGUCCUGGGGCCAGCCCAGGGCUGGCACGGGGUUCGCAUUUCACUUCUGGGCCAUGGCAAGCUCUGGUUCAGAGCCUUAGCUCGGCAGCAGCCCCUCUGCACCAAGUCACUUGGCCCCUGCCACAGCAUCACAGCCUGGAGCCCAACAGGAUGAGCCCAGCUCAUGCUUCUGAAGCACGGCUAUUCUGACAGCCCUGGUCUUGGUGCUCAUCACUUGCUUCUCACUGUGCUUUACAGGCAGAAUGGGGACAAGAGCUUUAAGUUCUAUCAUUGUGAUUCUUUUUUUUCUGCUGCAGUCCCUUAUAUGUAGCCUCCGACCAAAUACAACUUUUGCCUUUGUGCUA